rnacentral:rRNA from 1 species
GUCCACGCCGUAAACGAUGAGUACUGGGUGUCGCGGGUAGUUGACCCCUGCGGUGCCGUAGCUAACGCGUUAAGUACUCCGCCUGGGGAUUACGGUCGCAAGAUUAAAACUCAAAGGAAUUGACGGGGGCCCGCACAAGCGGUGGAGCAUGUGGUUUAAUUCGACGCAACGCGAAGAACCUUACCUGGGCUAGACAACGGUGGACCGGUCUAGAGAUAGAUCUUUCCCUUCGGGGACUGCCGGUUCAGGUGCUGCAUGGCUGUCGU